rnacentral:rRNA from 1 species
UACGAAGGGGGCUAGCGUUGCUCGGAAUUACUGGGCGUAAAGCGCGCGUAGGCGGCUUCUCAAGUCAGGGGUGAAAUCCUUGGGCUCAACCCAAGAAUUGCCUUUGAAACUGUGAAGCUAGAGUGUCGGAGGGGAUAGCGGAAUUGCUAAUGUAGAGGUGAAAUUCGUAGAUAUUAGCAGGAACACCGGUGGCGAAGGCGGCUAUCUGGACGACAACUGACGCUGAGGCGCGAAAGCGUGGGGAUCAAACAGG